rnacentral:rRNA from 1 species
UACGUAGGGUGCAAGCGUUGUCCGGAAUUAUUGGGCGUAAAGAGCACGCAGGCGGUUUGGCAAGUCGGAUGUGAAAACCCGAAGCUCAACUUCGGGCCUGCAUCCGAAACUGCCCGACUAGAGGUAGGUAGGGGAGAUCGGAAUUCCUGGUGUAGCGGUGAAAUGCGCAGAUAUCAGGAGGAACACCGGUGGCGAAGGCGGAUCUCUGGGCCUUACCUGACGCUCAGGUGCGAAAGCUAGGGGAGCGAACAGG